UACGUAGGGUGCGAGCGUUGUCCGGAAUUAUUGGGCGUAAAGAGCUUGUAGGCGGUUUGUCGCGUCUGCCCGUGAAAAUCCGGGGCUCAACCCCGGACUUGCGGUGGGUACGGGCAGACUAGAGUGUGGUAGGGGAGACUGGAAUUCCUGGUGUAGCGGUGAAAUGCGCAGAUAUCAGGAGGAACACCGAUGGCGAAGGCAGGUCUCUGGGCCACUACUGACGCUGAGGAGCGAAAGCGUGGGGGAGCGAACAGG
rnacentral:rRNA from 1 species